rnacentral:lncRNA from 1 species
GAAGUAAAAACAAAGUCAAAUUCUAGUUUGUAAAUAUCUAUACUGAUGAUGGCUGACCAACAACUGCUUUAUAUAUAAAAGAGAGAGCAGGAACUUAAAAAUUGGUAUUAGAAAAUGUGUUAGGUGGAAGCUCAAGAACAGCCCUCCACACAGCCACACACUAUGAAGAUCCAUCCCAGAAUAGAUGGUGCCUCCCUUAACCUCAACAGUUGAUAUUUACAGAGGACCCUCCCUCUCACUCCAGAUAAGGAAUGACAGACCAGGCAACAAAAUUAGUGAAGGUCAAUAGAAAUAGAGUCAGCAGUUAAUCGAUUGCAGAAGGAAAGCUUCACUGAAAGGAGCCAGACCCCUGUUUUCUCAGGAUAAUCAAAUGCCUGACUCAUGUAGAUAGACUCAUAAAAUUGACUUUUUUUUUUUUUUCCUCUCAGUCUAAUUGACUGAUGCCUGGGUAUCACAUAAACCUUGGAUGUCCUCAAGAUAAGACUUAAUACUCUACUACUAAAGCCAGACAUCUAAUUACUUUCAUUCCACAUGAAAGAUAGCCCAGUGGAAUGGAUGGAUGUCUCCCAUCAAGACAAGGCCUUUCUUUCAAACUGUCAAGGAGCUAUGCAGAAGCCCUAUCGAGGAACACCUUCUGUAAGUCAUACUAAUCAGAUAAACCUUUAGCCACAAAUAUUAAUAGCAA